rnacentral:rRNA from 1 species
GGGAAACUGGGUCUAAUACCGGAUAUGACCACCGGCCGCAUGGUUGGUGGUGGAAAGUUUUUUCGAUUGGGGAUGGGCUCGCGGCCUAUCAGUUUGUUGGUGGGGUAAUGGCCUACCAAGGCGACGACGGGUAGCCGGCCUGAGAGGGCGACCGGCCACACUGGGACUGAGACACGGCCCAGACUCCUACGGGAGGCAGCAGUGGGGAAUAUUGCACAAUGGGGGAAACCCUGAUGCAGCGACGCAGCGUGCGGGAUGACGGCCUUCGGGUUGUAAACCGCUUUCAGCAGGGAAGAAGCUGUGAGGUGACGGUACCUGCAGAAGAAGUACCGGCUAACUACGUGCCAGCAGCCGCGGUAAUACGUAGGGUACGAGCGUUGUCCGGAAUUAUUGGGCGUAAAGAGCUCGUAGGUGGUUGGUCACGUCUGCUGUGGAAACGCAACGCUUAACGUUGCGCGGGCAGUGGGUACGGGCUGACUAGAGUGCAGUAGGGGAGUCUGGAAUUCCUGGUGUAGCGGUGAAAUGCGCAGAUAUCAGGAGGAACACCGGUGGCGAAGGCGGGACUCUGGGCUGUGACUGACACUGAGGAGCGAAAGCAUGGGGAGCGAACAGGAUUAGAUACCCUGGUAGUCCAUGCCG